AUGCCAGCUUCCUAGUACAAAAUCCAUGUUAUGUAUUAUUGCUCCCAGUGUAAGAACAGUGCAGGUCAUUUUUUUUUGGGUCAGUUCACCACAAGUCAGCAGGCAUCAUGUAUUCUGCCCAGACAGCAACCUCAUGUUCAAUUGUGAGCUAGACUUUCAUGUGGAAAACUGACAAAACUGACUACAGAUAUUUAUCAGUUCUGCAACAUCAUAUAGCUUUUAUGUUUGUAUUUUUAUGACCUUUACAUAAAUGAUGCCUACACCAACCACCUAUUGUCACAGUGAUUGGUAGCAGCAGACCAUAUCUGGGCUAUGAGACGAAUAAAAAUUGGACUCUUGUUGCUCAAAUUUACCAAUCCAAGGAAAGGCCUUCGCUGCUUAGUAUACAUCUGCAAGAUGAAUAAACUACUGACAGAGCUAAAAUCAAUAGAAUCUGUGCUCUGAUUCAUUGAGUUGAUAUAUUUUUGCCCUCUAGCUAUUAAAAAAAAUCACUUAAUGCAGCAUGUAGAAUUACGCAGGCUUCUUCCAGAUUAAAGUCGGCGUGAAUCUUUGCUGUUUUUUUUUUUUUUGUUUUGUUUUUCACAUCGUGGCUACAUAAAGUAAACAAAUCCUGUCCCGAGUCACUGACUUCCUUUUGGAUCACGCCGAUCACAUGAACCCACAGACCGAUGUACACUCAGCAUGCUGCCUUACAAGAUGCACAUCGUCAGUUUGAAGCUUUUAUUUGCUGUGCUUUUAUUUUCUUUAAGAUCUGUUCCAAACCAGGUUGAUCCUGUGUGUCACUGGGACAUUGUCAGCUAAACACAGUAGAUGGUAAAGCUGUAAGUGACACCUGUGUUCGCCUGUUAAUCUCUGCUUCAGCUUCUCCUUCACCUCCACACUUAAGCCCGACGCUCUUCCCCGCAGUCGGACACUCGCGAGUAGAUGUAUACGAGUCUCAGGAAGCGCAGUUUGCUCACUCACGUGCUGUUCAGCAUCCCAGUGGAGAACCAGAGGAUGCUGAUGUUGCUCCGCAGCUACCCUUUGGAUGCAGCGUUAUGCUUGUACAAUGGGGGAAAAUGAGUUGUGGACUUGCACUUUUACAAGCUGUAUGAGUGAUGUCUUGCAGUGUGAUGGACUUUAUUUAACUGACGUAGCAAAAAAGGAAAAAAAAGAAAAGAGGGGGGAAAAAAAGGCAGAGCUUUAGAGUAUUCAAAACUCCCAGCAGAACAACUAUAGAUCAACCUAACUACACACAAUAACUUAUAAAACAUGUAGAAUAAUUAAACAGAUGAAAUAGAUAUUUCUAAACUAUUGUACUACAAUGUUUUGAUGUGGUUGUAUUAUCCAUCAUACCAGUGUUAUUGUUGAGAUUUUUACUCACUAUUUUAGAGCGCAUUCUGAGAACUGUCAUGGCAUGAUGAUACUAAGGUCUUGGUAUAUUGUGGGAAAGGUUAUGUCUCUUAGUUUGUUAGUAUUUGUUUCAGUGUGUCGGGAGUGUCUCCUCUUAGGUUCGCUACUCUAGCUGGGACUAGGCGUGUGAGCCCGGGGAGAGCUGCUCUGAUGAACAUUUGCUCCUUGUGGCAACAAUGGAACACUUUAAAUGUGUUAGUGUCACUUAUUGAUAUAGUUUUUUGAUUUUUUUUUUUUUUUGUUGCCAUGCUCAUUUGUUUUAAAAUGUGUGAACUUGUUUAUUACAUGUCUGAAUAAGAAAAUUACAAAAUUCAAACACACAAAGCUGCUUUCUUGUGCACACAGCUCUCAUUUGUCACUUUGUUGCAUGCAGGCAAAGGCAUGUUGGGGCUUGCCUUAGCACUCAAUAUUGUAGUCCUGCACUUUUAAUUUGAAAAUUCAAAUCAAGACUUAAA
ensembl:lncRNA